CCUACGGGUGGCAGCAGUAGGGAAUAUUGCUCAAUGGGGGAAACCCUGAAGCAGCACCGCCGCGUGGAGGAUGAAGGUUUUCGGAUUGUAAACCCCUUUUGUUAGAGAAGAUAAUGACGGUAUCUAACGAAUAAGCACCGGCUAACUCCGUGCCAGCAGCCGCGGUAAUACGGAGGGUGCAAGCGUUACUCGGAUUCACUGGGCGUAAAGAGCGCGUAGGCGGGAUAGCAAGUCAGAUGUGAAAUCCUAGGGCUUAACCAUAGAACUGCAUUUGAAACUGUUAUUCUAGAGUAUGGGAGAGGUAGGUGGAAAUCUUGGUGUAGGGGUAAAAUCCGUAGAGAUCAAGAGGAAUACUCAUUGCGAAGGCGACCUGCUAGAACAUAACUGACGCUGAUGCGCGAAAGCGUGGGGAGCAAACAGGAUUAGAUACCCUUGUAGUC
rnacentral:rRNA from 1 species